UCGAUAAACGCUUCAACGGCCUCCGGAUC
rnacentral:sRNA from 1 species